AGCAUCUCUUCCCCUGAUGUGACCAACUACACCCACAUCCAGGUGAUCAAAGAGUAUGUUGUAGAAAAUGCCCUUAACAGGCUGUCCCUCCCCAACAGACCUAGUCAGCAUUUCUCAUUACCUGUACUUUGUCCACACAGAUCUGCCUCGCUGACCUUGCGUGUCCCCAUUCCCGGAAAGCCUCGGCCAUUUGCCUGCUCCGUAACCUCCAGCCAACACAGCUUGGGAUUAAAACAAAAGAACAAACUGGUUCGGGGUUUACUGUGGCCAAAUCACAGCCACCCAAAUCACAGGAAUAUUACCAAGUCUGGUGGAAAACCAAAGGUAGGAGUCCCCUGGAGAUAUUCCCCUCCAACCAUUGGGGUGAGGAGAAGACUCACCCUUUCUCCAAACACUGUUUUGACUGAGCUUCCUCGGUGCUUCACCUGCUGCCACAGGGCCACUAGCACCUCCUCACUCCAGCAGCUGCAGGACCUUGCCCCAAAAAAACCUCA
rnacentral:lncRNA from 1 species